rnacentral:rRNA from 1 species
AAAAUUUUAAAAGUCGAACAGACUUAGUAAUUAAACUCCUGCGCCUAAUACUUAUUUUAAUCCAACAUCGAGGUCGCAAACUUAUUUUAUCGAUAUGAACUCUCCAAAAAAAUAACG